rnacentral:rRNA from 1 species
AUUGAACGCUGGUGGCAGGCCUAACACAUGCAAGUCGAGCGGAUGAAGGGAGCUUGCUCCUGGAUUCAGCGGCGGACGGGUGAGUAAUGCCUAGGAAUCUGCCUGGUAGUGGGGGAUAACGUCCGGAAACGGGCGCUAAUACCGCAUACGUCCUGAGGGAGAAAGUGGGGAUCUUCGGACCUCACGCUAUCAGUUGAGCCUAGGUCGGAGUAGCUAGUUGGUGGGGUAAAGGCCUACCAAGCCGACGAUCCGUAACUGGGCUGAGAGGAUGAUCAGUCACACUGGAGCUGAGACACGGUCCAGACUCCUACGGGAGGCAGCAGUGGGGAAUAUUAGACAAUGGGCGAAAGCCUGAUCCAGCCAGGCCGCGUGUGAGAAGAAGGUCUUCGGAUUGUAAAGCACUUUAAGUUGGGAGGAAGGGCAGUAAGUUAAUACCUUGCUGUUUUGACGUUACCAACAGAAUAAGCACCGGCUAACUUCGUG